rnacentral:rRNA from 1 species
UUUCCGGUUGAUCCUGCCGGAGGUCACUGCUAUCGGAGUCCGAUUAAGCCAUGCGAGGCAAGGGUGGCUCUGCUACCCGCCGCACUGCUCAGUAACACGUAGUCAAUCUGCCCUGGGGACGGGUAUAACCCCGGGAAACUGGGGACAAUGCCCGAUAGAGGAUGGGUACUGGAAGGUCCUUUCCUCCAAAAGGUCUCUUCGGAGUUCCGCCCCAGGACGAGACUGCGCCGGAUUAGGUUGUUGUUGGGGUAAUUGCCCAACAAGCCGAUAAUCCGUACGGGUUGUGAGAGCAAUAGCCCGGAGAUGGACUCUGAGACAUGAGUCCAGGCCCUACGGGGUGCAGCAGGCGCGAAACCUUCGCAAUGCGCGAAAGCGUGACGAGGGGACUCCGAGUGGCUUCGCACCGCGAAGCCUUUUGCCGAGUGUGAAAAGGCUCGGCGAAUAAGGGGUGGGUAAGACGGUUGCCAGCCGCCGCGGUAAUAACCGCGCCCCAAGUGGUGGCCACUUUUAUUGGGCCUAAAGCGUCCGUAGCCGGUCCGGAAAGUCCACAGUCAAAGCCUACUGCAAACAGUGGAAUUGCUGUGGAUACUUCCGGGCUUGGGACCGGGAGAGUCCGGGGGUACGGCCAGGGUAGGGGUUAAAUCCGUUAAUCCUGGCAGGACCACCUGUGGCGAAGGCGCCCGGCUGGAACGGCUCCGACGGUGAGGGACGAAAGCUAGGGGAGCGAUCGGGAUUAGAUACCCCGGUAGUCCUAGCCGUAAACGAUGCCCACUUGGUGUCGGCUGUCCUACGAGGGCAGUCAGUGCCGAAGCGAAGGCGAUAAGUGGGCCGCCUGGGGAGUACGGCCGCAAGGCUGAAACUUAAGGGAAUUGGCGGGG